rnacentral:rRNA from 1 species
UACGGGGGGAGCAAGCGUUGUUCGGAUUUACUGGGCGUAAAGGGCGCGUAGGCGGCCACCGUCAAGUCAGUUGUGAAAAUCUCUGGGCUUAACCCAGAAAGGUCAACUGAUAACUGCGGGGCUAGAGUGCAGAAGGGGCAACUGGAAUUCUCGGUGUAGCGGUGAAAUGCGUAGAUAUCGAGAGGAACACCUGCGGCGAAGGCGGGUUGCUGGGCUGACACUGACGCUGAUGCGCGAAAGCUAGGGGGAGCGAACAGG